rnacentral:lncRNA from 1 species
GCGCGACAGUGCAGAGGUGUUGCGCGUCCGCGGUAGCGACGCCAGUGUGGAGUUUAUCGCCGCCCAUCACCGUGUAAGACCGCCUGUGACAGCAUCGCUGCCGCCGAAAACCUGCUUCUAUAAUUAAAUGUUUGCACGCUACAUGAUAAGCUGGCUGAUAAUCUUCAAUUAUUUCCACAGAACAGAAGCCGGAUUCAUUACGGUUUAUUAAGACGAGUAAUUAUGUCGGGAACCGUGUUGGCUGUGCAGCUCGUCAUCCCUAGAUUUUUCGUCGUGGACGCAGGCUCGGAGUGCAUCUCAGACGACCUUGUGCACCAGUGCCUGAUGCUGGGCCAAAUUAGCGUUCCGACCCGGACCCCAUGGCGAUCAAUCACCCGCGCCGUCAAAAUACGCAUCGCCGCCGGGGUACGGCCAUGACGUCACGCCUGGAAGGCCGCCAGCUGCUAGGGACACCUAGGGAGGCAAUGGUAAACUACAAGUUUACAGUUAUGUCGCAGGGGUGAUGCGAAAGCGUCCAUCGUCACGGAUAGUGGAGUGUUUAAACUCAUCAUUAGCAGGAAUGAGGCCUAUGUCCUAUAAAGCCGCAAAUCAUAGUGAGUUAGAUUAUUGUGUCGUAUGAUUCUUUCGAUGAAGCAUCCAUGUUUCUUGCCACAGGGGGAGCUCAAAAAGCCUCCAGUUCUGAGACGGCCAGUCUCCGUGUUGCCCGAAAGCCUUUCAAGUGAUUUAGGUUACUGAAAUCUUCGAAUGGAUUUUGGAUUAGGUGGGAGCCCCAAGGCGGAAAAUAGAUUCAAGACGAUCAAAGGAUAAUCAAUAGACGUAUAUGCUACGCUGCAAUGUGUUCGAACGGUUCCAGUCUGUUGAAAUGGUCAUAUUGCCAAUGGUCUGGUCUCAUCCAUCUCAUUAGUGCUUUUCAUACUCUGAGGAAAUCAUUCAAGCCAGCCAGUUUUCACGAUCCCAUUUCUAAGCCCAGGAUUCAGCUGUGUUUAAUAUCGGAUGCAUCGCCUAUUCUGACAAGUGGUGCGGCUUCGGCCCCGGGGUGGGGAGACACUACGCUGAUGCAUGCAAAUCAUUGACUUCAACAGGGGAUGACCCCUCUUGCUACUUUUCGGGUUUUCUUGCAGACCGCUCCUCGGAGCAAAAGCGUUGGUACCUCAGGGCAGUCAGUAUGAGAAGUCUAUUAAGUGCAAUCAUUGUGACGUUAUGUUCGGGCAUGCUGAUGCACCGCAUAAGUAACCGGAUCGAAUUGGAAUACCUGAUCUGCUACGGUUGCGCGGUCGCGCAUCACAAAUGCCUCGCGUUGAAGUCCCAGCAAUUUACGACUGACAGUUCUUCGUAAUUGUCGGUGUUCUGUAUGAAUUACGCGAAGGCCUUCUUCUGUUGUAGCUAUCGUGUGCUCGAUCCUCUCAGUACUCCUACCUCUCACUCAGCGCGCUGCGAGCAUGGCUGUGACAUCGAGUGGUUGGUAGCAUGACGGAAUGUACCGAAAAGUCACCCUGUGGAUGACCUGACACAUAUAUAUGCACCGUAAGAUCGCCGUCGGUCCUGUUCACUAUUUGACGACGUGAUGAGUGAUGCCGUGGUCUCUUCGAAAUCCCCGUUGUGCUGCUAAAGACUCGCAUUUAGGCAUUCGCCGUGAGACAAAGCGCAGCGGAAAUAUCCGAUGUUCUGCUGAGGCCGAUGCUGACCUACCCUCUGGUGAUGACGUACAGAGGCCCAGUGUGCACUGUGUGGCGAUUGCCGGGUCCGGAUGCUCAUGAGCGACGCUGUGUGCCGGUUCGCGAAAAGGAGGGGCCAACUUUGUCAAUGCGGCCUUGUGACCGUGUCCGACAGAGUUGUCAACUGCACGUGAUGUUUGAGCCAGCUCGCUCGUGAAAUGGAUCGGUUGCCUACGGUUUGACUCGGUUUCAACGAAAUGAAACGUGGCGUAAUGCAGAGAGAAACAUA